rnacentral:sRNA from 1 species
CACUGGCCCCACGGGAGGGUCCCUGAAGCCUGCCUGUCUUCUGCAGGGGCCUCUGCACCCACAGGCUUGGUCCACAGCUGCCUCUUGGUUGUCCCUCCACCUCCCUGGCCUUUGAGACUCCCUCAGUGGCUUUGUCAGAGUUCUCUGAGUCCAGCUGUGGAGGAGAGUCUGAAACAGCUGCUCUGGGAGGCGGCAGCAGGAGUGUCCCAGCGCCGUGGGCUGGGCUGGUGCCAAGCCUAAGCCAGCACCUGCCCGCAGCGGGACUUCGGUCCUUGCGGCUCCUUGUCCUGCACAGCAACCUCCUGGCCUCUGUGCCAGCUGACUUGGCCCGCCUUCCACUCCUCACCCGGCUCGACCUGAGGGACAACCAGCUCCGGGACCUGCCCCCUGAGCUGCUAGACGCCCCCUUUGUGCGCCUGCAGGGGAACCCCCUGGGUGAGGCCUCGCCAGACGCCCCGAGUUCACCAGUGGCAGCCCUCAUUCCAGAAAUGCCCAGACUGUUCCUGACCUCAGAUUUGGACAGGCUGCUCAGUGACCCUGGCCUGUGGCAUCCGCCUGCAGUUCCCAGCGGGAGCCA